rnacentral:rRNA from 1 species
AGUGAACGCUGGCGGUAGGCCUAACACAUGCAAGUCGAACGGCAGCACAGUAAGAGCUUGCUCUUACGGGUGGCGAGUGGCGGACGGGUGAGGAAUACAUCGGAAUCUACUUUUUCGUGGGGGAUAACGUAGGGAAACUUACGCUAAUACCGCAUACGACCUACGGGUGAAAGCAGGGGAUCUUCGGACCUUGCGCGAUUGAUUGAGCCGAUGUCGGAUUAGCUAGUUGGCGGGGUAAAGGCCCACCAAGGCGACGAUCCGUAGCUGGUCUGAGAGGAUGAUCAGCCACACUGGAACUGAGACACGGUCCAGACUCCUACGGGAGGCAGCAGUGGGGAAUAUUGGACAAUGGGCGCAAGCCUGAUCCAGCCAUACCGCGUGGGUGAAGAAGGCCUUCGGGUUGUAAAGCCCUUUUGUUGGGAAAGAAAAGCAGCAGGUUAAUACCCCGAUGUUCUGACGGUACCCAAAGAAUAAGCACCGGCUAACUUCGUG